rnacentral:rRNA from 1 species
GACGAACGCUGGCGGCGUGCCUAAUACAUGCAAGUAGAACGCUGAAGCUUGGUGCUUGCACCGAGCGGAUGAGUUGCGAACGGGUGAGUAACGCGUAGGUAACCUGCCUGGUAGCGGGGGAUAACUAUUGGAAACGAUAGCUAAUACCGCAUAAGAGUAGAUGUUGCAUGACAUUUGCUUAAAAGGUGCAAUUGCAUCACUACCAGAUGGACCUGCGUUGUAUUAGCUAGUUGGUGAGGUAACGGCUCACCAAGGCAACGAUACAUAGCCGACCUGAGAGGGUGAGCGGCCACCCUGGGAGUGAGACACGGCCCAGACGCCUACGGGAGGCAGCAGUAGGGAAUCUGCGGCAAUGGACGGAAGUCUGACCGGGCAACGCCGCGUGAGGGAAGAAGGUUUUCGGAUCGUAAAGCUCUGUUGUAAGGGAAGAACGAGUGUGAGAGUGGAAAGUUCACACUGUGACGGUAUCUUACCAGAAAGGGACGGCUAACUACGUG